rnacentral:rRNA from 1 species
GACGAACGCUGGCGGCGUGCUUAACACAUGCAAGUCGAACGAAGUGGCGAACGGGUGAGUAACGCGUAAUCAACCUGCCCUUCAGAGGGGGAUAACAGUUGGAAACGACUGCUAAUACCGCAUACUGAAGGAGGGGUAUGCGUCUGGUUAGCUAGUUGGAGGGGGUACGGACCACCAAGGCGCUGAUCAGUAGCCGGUCUGAGAGGAGGAACGGCCACAUUGGGACUUGGACAACGCCCAGACUCCUACGGGAGGCAGCCGUGGGGAAGCUUCCGCCAUGGACGAAAGUCUGACGGAGCAACGCCGCGUGAGUGAUGACGGCCUUCGGGUUGUAAAGCUCUGUUAAUCGGGACGCGGUACCGGAAUAGAAAGCCACGGCUAACUACGUGCCAGCAGCCGCGGUAAUAC